rnacentral:rRNA from 1 species
CAUUCACGGAGAGUUUGAUCCUGGCUCAGGACGAACGCUGGCGGCGUGCUUAACACAUGCAAGUCGAACGAUGAAGCCCUUCGGGGUGGAUUAGUGGCGAACGGGUGAGUAACACGUGGGCAAUCUGCCCUUCACUCUGGGACAAGCCCUGGAAACGGGGUCUAAUACCGGAUAACACUCUCUUCCUCCUGGGAGAGGGUUGAAAGCUCCGGCGGUGAAGGAUGAGCCCGCGGCCUAUCAGCUAGUUGGUGGGGUAAUGGCCUACCAAGGCGACGACGGGUAGCCGG